CCGAGUCAAUUUUCUUACUUGCAAUCAUCAAACUUUUCAUUAUUUUUAAUGCUUCGAAAAGUGAGGAAUGUCAUACAUCUGAGGUCUAAUGUCAGAUAUGAUUAAGUGUUUGACUUUAUCUUUCUUGACAUCAGUGCACACGUGCUUGAAUUCACUGGCAAGGGAAAAACAAAAGUUGUUUAUGAAGGUUUGGAAGGGAAUUGAAUAGUCAUAUGGGUGCUACAAACCCCAAAGGAGGUGUAAUAUGUGAGUGUCAAGACAAAACACAAGAUACCCAAAAUUUUGCCCCGGUUUGGUGUUUGGGAAAAAUGAGUUGGGGUUUGGAUCCAUGAAAAUUAGGGUGAAAAUGCAAGAGAGAUCUGUAAAGCUGCCCCAGUCUUGAGAUUAUGGGUUGAUGAAUUUCAGGAUGAAGACGCGUGGUGAAAUCCACAAAGCUGCCCCAGUUUUUUUUCUUUGGCAUAGGGUUUUGUUUAGAAGAGGUGGUGGGCAUGAAAAGGAUCGGCUAACAAGGUUGGCCCUAAUUGGUUUGAUUUUUUAUUUUUAUUUUUUUUGCUUCUGGCUAGUUGAUAGGGAGAUCCCUUUCUCCUUUUUCCUAAGACAUUACUUUUUCCUCUUCUUUUUUUUUUGUUUUAUUCUUUUCAACUUUUUUUACGGCACAUUGAAAGUCACUGCGCCUUAUCGCAAAAUUAAACUUUAUGAAAAUUUGAACAAUCAUUGUCCA
rnacentral:lncRNA from 1 species